UGGAGACCACAGUGGGUGUAUUGGUUUGUUAGGAGGUGAUCUGUGGAGACCACAGUGGGUGUAUUGGUUUGUUAGGAGGUGAUCUGUGGAGACCACAGUGGGUGUAUUGGUUUGUUUGGAGGUGAUCUGUGGAGACCACAGUGGGUGUAUUGGUUUGUUAGGAGGUGAUCUGUGGAGACCACAGUGGGUGUAUUGGUUUGUUAGGAGGUGAUCUGUGGAGACCACAGUGGGUGUAUUGGUUUGUUUGGAGGUGAUCUGUGGAGACCACAGUGGGUGUAUUGGUUUGUUAGGAGGUGAUCUGUGGAGACCACAGUGGGUGUAUUGGUUUGUUUGGAGGUGAUCUGUGGAGACCACAGUGGGUGUAUUGGUUUGUUUGGAGGUGAUCUGUGGAGACCACAGUGGGUGUAUUGGUUUGUUAGGAGGUGAUCUGUGGAGACCACAGUGGGUGUAUUGGUUUGUUAGGAGGUGAUCUGUGGAGACCACAGUGGGUGUAUUGGUUUGUUUGGAGGUGAUCUGUGGAGACCACAGUGGGUGUAUUGGUUUGUUAGGAGGUGAUCUGUGGAGACCACAGUGGGUGUAUUGGUUUGUUUGGAGGUGAUCUGUGGAGACCACAGUGGGUGUAUUGGUUUGUUAGGAG